rnacentral:rRNA from 1 species
UACGAAGGGGGCUAGCGUUGCUCGGAAUCACUGGGCGUAAAGGGUGCGUAGGCGGGUCUUUUAAGUCAGGGGUGAAAUCCUGGAGCUCAACUCCAGAACUGCCUUUGAUACUGAGGAUCUUGAGUUCGGGAGAGGUGAGUGGAACUGCGAGUGUAGAGGUGAAAUUCGUAGAUAUUCGCAAGAACACCAGUGGCGAAGGCGGCUCACUGGCCCGGAACUGACGCUGAGGUGCGAAAGCGUGGGGAGCAAACAGG